UAAAUUAUACGUGAUGGUGUUCGCGGUUAACUAUCGAAAGAUUGAUGACACCUACCCUCUA
rnacentral:ncRNA from 2 species